rnacentral:lncRNA from 1 species
UUCAUUUUCAAGAAUAUUACAAUCAGAAUAUAUAUUAAAUCAUUCCUAUACUUAGAACUUAGUCAUGAAUUGUCUAUUAAAAAGCACUACAACAUCCAACGUUAACCAUUUCUUUUCCAACAAAAAUGCUUGCAACCAGAAUAAUUAGCAAGCUAAACGUCUUUCAAUCAAAAUCCACGAGAAUUAUUGGGAGCUUAACAACGUAAAAUUUUGUGGUUCUAAACGAGCAGGGUGCAAUCUUUUUCAAGAAUAUCAUACGGAUAUUUCACUACUCCAGGUAUGUUAAGGCUAUCCCUUCUUUUUUUUGGCAUGAUCCAUACGAUACGAAGGAAACUUGCAAAAGUACAAAUUCCAUAAAUGACUCUAUUCAUAGAAGUAUUAGAGAUAUCUAUGUUCCUGAAUUUCCAUGUGUCAUAAUAUUUUAUCAUCUGUUCAUGGAUCUCAGAAAAAUACGAAAGUUGAAAAGAGUUUACUUUAUGAUAUUGCUCAAGACACAAUGGUCUUAUAAAAUUCCGAAAGAUUUUAUUAAUGUACUUUUCAUGCAUUGCAUUCAUGAGCAUUGACCCCUAACCAUAUGGCGUAAUAUACGCGUAUAUAUGUAAAUAUAUGUAUAUGAGAUAUGAGAAAAGGUUACGGCGUUAUAUGCGCAUCACCACCUAAUCAGCUGGUAUAUGAUGAUGAUGUUGCCACAGUGGCUGAAAUAUGAUUCAAACGGCAUUAUAUACGCGUAUAUAUGUAUGUAUAUAUAUGUAUAUGGGAUAUGGGAAAGGUUAUAGCGUUAUAUAUGCACCACCACCUAAUCAACUGAUAUAUGAUGAUGAUUUUGCUCACAGUGGCCGAUAUGAUAUGACGGGAUGCCCUCAGAGGCUGAUGAUGUUAUGAAACAUGUACAUAUGCACGACAUGACAUUCAUA